rnacentral:rRNA from 1 species
AGAGUUUGAUCCUGGCUCAGGACGAACGCUGGCGGCGUGCUUUACACAUGCAAGUCGAACGAGAACCUUCCUUCGGGAAGCAGAGAGUGGCGAACGGGUGAGUAACACGUGGGCAACCUACCCCUCACACUGGGAUAACCUCGGGAAACCGGGGCUAAUACCGGAUAUUCACGACCUCGGGCAUCCGAGGACGUGGAAAGGAUUCUGGUGAGGGAUGGGCCCGCGGCCUAUCAGUUUGUUGGUGGGGUAAUGGCCUACCAAGACGACGACGGGUAGCCGGCCUGAGAGGGCGACCGGCCACACUGGGACUGAGACACGGCCCAGACUCCUACGGGAGGCUGCAGUGGGGAAUAUUGCGCAAUGGACGAAAGUCUGACGCAGCAACGCCGCGUGAGGGAUGAAGUACAUCGAGAUGUAAACCUCUUUCAGCAGGGACGAAGCGAAAGUGACGGUACCUGCAGAAGAAGCGCCGGCUAACUACGUGCCAGCAGCCGCGGUAAU